UUUUACAUUUUAAAUAUUUUUCUUUUGUUUGAUUUUUUCUGUGUUUGAUUAUGAAACCCCAUCUACUAACAUAUUAAAACAGUGUACAAAAAGUGAUGUUACUAGAACUUAUAGUCUACUUAUGCAGAGCUUUCUAAUAUUCCAUGUUUCUGAGAUUUUUAAAGCAAUACAAGAUUGAAUUUAGCAUAAAGCUAAAUUUCUGCUCUGGAGACAAAAAAGGAAGACAGCGAAAAUGACCAGUCAAAAUAAAGAUUGAAAAUACAAAAAAUUGUGUAUAUCUUGGUGUAGAUGAUUUAUCCUCAUUUUCUUAUGAUAAAACAAAAAAUAUUAUUAAACUUUGGGAUUUACCUGUAACUCCAAAAUCUUUACAGAAGUUUAAUGUUUGCUCUGAGAAGUUGAAUGAACAAAAUUAUUAAAUGUGUUCAUUCUUAGUCGUCAUUGAAGUACAACUUGGUAAACUACAAAACACAUCAAAUUCAGUUAUAAAAAUUUGAGUAACAAAGGUAUACUAAUUAUUGUAUUGCCUGAAAGAGUGUCAUUGCUAUUAAAAGCAGUGAAGAAGUUAAGUACUCUGGAAGAAAAGAAAAUACGUAAGUAAAUGGUCUAUUAUUUGGCACAAAUCGGAGUUAAAGACAAAGGAGAUUGUAUAUUUUAUUUGCUAAGAAUAGUUUUUUAAAAUGGCCUAGUUGUAAAAUUAAACUAUGCAGGGAGAGGACAAAAAAUUGGAAUAGAAAAAUGUUGAUUGCAUAUGCUGCUAUUGAAACUGUGAAGUCAAAUAAGCAUGGUUUAUGCAGACAUCUGAUAGAGAUAGCGUAAGAAAAAGUAGUAAUCGUGGGCACCAAAUAUCAUAAGCUAAACACUAUUCAAUAACAAGUAGCUCAGCCAAUAUCGAAACUACUCUAUAAAUUUUAUAGUGAAUUUUUUUAUUUAAAACUCAAUGUGUCAGUUUUUGGUUUAAGUU
rnacentral:lncRNA from 1 species